rnacentral:rRNA from 1 species
GAUGAACGCUGGCGGCGUGCCUAAUACAUGCAAGUCGAGCGAACAGACGAGGAGCUUGCUCCUCUGACGUUAGCGGCGGACGGGUGAGUAACACGUGGAUAACCUACCUAUAAGACUGGGAUAACUUCGGGAAACCGGAGCUAAUACCGGAUAAUAUAUUGAACCGCAUGGUUCAAUAGUGAAAGACGGUUUUGCUGUCACUUAUAGAUGGAUCCGCGCCGCAUUAGCUAGUUGGUAAGGUAACGGCUUGCCAAGGCAACGAUGCGUAGCCGACCUGAGAGGGUGAUCGGCCACACUGGAACUGAGACACGGUCCAGACUCCUACGGGAGGCAGCAGUAGGGAAUCUUCCGCAAUGGGCGAAAGCCUGACGGAGCAACGCCGCGUGAGUGAUGAAGGUCUUCGGAUCGUAAAACUCUGUUAUUAGGGAAGAACAAAUGUGUAAGUAACUAUGCACGUCUUGACGGUACCUAAUCAGAAAGCCACGGCUAACUACGU